AAAACCCCGGGGGGCCGCGGCGGCGGCCGGCCCGAGACGGCGCGCGCCGAGAGCCGCACGGGCCCACGGUCAGCCAGCCAUCAGUAAUCCGCCUCGGCUCCGGCCGGGCCCGGGAGCUCUUCGGCGAGCGAGCGAGAGAGAGAGAAAAGCCAAAAGCCGCGGCCAAUUAAUCCGCCACCCACCAAUGGGGAACCACCUCGCGUAAAAUCCCCCGCCGCUCGCCGCUGCCACCCUCCCUCCUCAGUCCUCACACUGCCCCGUUCCCACUCCCACUCGCGGCUCCGAGCCGGCGGCGGCAAUGCGGAAGGACGCGGCCGGCGGGGGCGGGGGCGGAGGCGGCAUUGCGCCGGGCGCGGCGCCCGCGCUGCUCUGCUUCGACAUCAAGCCAUUCCUCGCCGCGCUCACCGCGCUCACGCUCCUCGCCGCCGCCUGGCAACUCCGGCCCUACCGCUCCCUCCUCGCCGCCCCGUUCCCCGCCGACGCGUGCGCGCAGGCGGCCGCCGGGUCUCCCCCCCGCGCGCUCGCCGUUCACGCCAGGAAGGCCGAAUCUUCCUCCUCUGCCGCCCCCAACUCCACCGCUUCGCCGCCGCCGCCGCCGCCUCCCGGCCCCGAGGUGCGGGAGUUCCGCGCCGUGGGCAGCGCGGCGGCGCUGUUCGUGCAGAUGGGCGCCUACCGCGGCGGGCCCUACACGUUCGCCGUCGUCGGGCUGGCCUCCAAGCCCACGCACGUCUACGGCAAGCCCUGGUUCCGCUGCGAGUGGGAGCCCACCAACGCCUCCUCCUCCUCGCCGCCGAUGCGCGCUGCCAGGACGUACCACAUGCUCCCGGACUGGGGCUACGGCCGCGUCUACACGGUCGUCGUCGUCAACUGCACGUUCCCGCGCGUGCCCAACGCCGACAACGCCGGCGGCCGGCUCAUCCUCUACGCGCACCACGGGCCCUCGCGCUCCCGGGACUCCCCGCACGAGCGGAUCGUCGCGCUCGAGGAGGCCCCGGGCGCCUACGACGCCGGGGCCGCAUUCCGGCCCAGGUACGACUACCUCUACUGCGGCUCCUCGCUCUACGGCAGCCUCAGCGCGGCGCGGGUGCGGGAGUGGAUGGCGUACCACGCGCGCUUCUUCGGGGACCGCUCCCACUUCGUUUUCCACGACGCCGGCGGGGUCGGCCCCGCCGUGCGCGCCGCGCUCGAGCCCUGGGUGCGCGCGGGCCGGGCCACGCUGCAGGACGUGCGCGCGCAGGCCGAGUACGACGGGUGGUACUACAACCAGUUCCUCGUCGUCAACGACUGCCUACACCGGUACCGGCACGCCGCUAAGUGGACGUUCUUCUUCGACGUCGACGAGUACAUCUUCCUGCCUGAUGGGCGUAAGCUCGAGGACGUCCUCAACGAGCUCGAACCGUACACGCAGUUCACCAUCGAGCAGAACCCGAUGUCGAGCAGGUUGUGCGUCGACAAUCCGGACGCUGACUAUUCCAACCAGUGGGGAUUUGAGAAGCUGGUUUUCCGGAACUCGAUCACCGGCGUGAGGAGAGACCGGAAGUAUGCGAUUCAGGCCAAGAACGCAUACGCCACAGGUGUACACAUGUCUGAGAAUGUUAUCGGCAACACCACGCACAAGACGGAGCACCUCAUCCGAUACUACCAUUACCACAACACCAUCAACGUCCUCGAUGAGGUUUGCCGCGAGUUUGUGCCCAUUCCACCCAAGGGUGGCCUGACAUGGUCCGAGAAGACGCCCUGGUACUACGACGACAGCAUGAAGCGCAUUGCUGAUGCUGUGCGUGAAUUCGAGAGGAAGACCAUUGGUGAUGUGCGACUAUGACAGAGACCACAGAGAUGAAGAGCUGAUGUACAGGAUGUAUUGCUUUCAGCCAUUCAUGAGGUGUGGCAGCAUCUGUCUCCCGGAUGUUAUGAAGCAGACGAUAACCUAUGAUUUGGGGCUAUCUGAGCUGACAGAGAUGCAACGAAAGCGAAGGUGCAACCUCAAGAAAAUGGCAGAUUGUGUACCAGUAAUGACUCUGUUACUCUGGUUUGUGGCAAAGAAGUGGAUGAAGGAGAAAAAAGAGGCUUAUGGCUUCGGCAAACCCCAUGGUAACUGGCACGCCAAGUUUUUCUUUUUUAUGUUGCAGAACAGCCCAGUGCAUCCUGCUGUGGUUUCACAUUUUGGAUCUCUGCACAGUAGUGCUAGUUUGACAAAAGCAGAAUUUGAAGCAAGUAGUAGUCUUCCGCUCCUCCUGUAGCUCUGCAACUCUGCAGCAUGGUGCCAAAUAUAGAGGUGAAAUUUUUCCUGGUAGAAGGAUAGCCAGGUGGGCACAGAUGGAUACCAGCCCCAGCUCAGCUAUUCUAUUCCCCAUCCGGCAAUGCAAACAUCCAAACAAUGCCCUUGUUUUGUAGUACUGCAGCAUCAGUCCUGGACUGGAGACCAAAAGCCUCUUCUGACUUCUGCACACUACUAAAGACUCCUGCUAAUCUACCAAGAGAUUCUUCUGAGCUCCUGGAGUCCAUAGAAUUGUGCAAACUUAUCCUUAAUUGUAUAGUCCAUAGAAAACGAGGUGCCCACCCCGGUGCUGCUGGAAUGGAUUCGGUUCCAGGCUUUUUCGUUGUUCUCCCAGCACAGCAGAGGAAAAGAUUUUCAGCUCGCGGAAGGGAGCGACAAGGACCGUACGCGCAGCCGCAGCACAGGCCGCUUGUGACCCCCGUGGCCGGAAGCCGCUUUGGACUUGUGGUGCACGGGAAACUUCCAGAAAACGAACAGUACUGCGCUUGCAAAGAGUGGCCGCAAGCGGUUCAGACUUCAGACAGUCGGGUCAGAACUUGCGGGGUUUCAGGUCCCGGAGCUGCUCAGUUGAUUGUCAGUGAUCUGCCGAAAAGGCCAUGGCAUGGUGUUGCAGUGGCAGACUUAUUUGAAAUUUGAAUUCGAACAGGAGAGAUUCUUUCUGUCCAAACAGGAGUAACUGGGUCCAUUUUCCUUCCAAACGGGGUUUGUAAAUACACUUCUACUGUAGUAUCAAAACUGUAAAUCUGUCUCGGCCUGAACAAUUUGGUUUCAGGGUUGCUGCAAGGAUUGCAACGUACUGACUCUACGAUUCGGGAAACUCGUCGCAGUGCCAGUUACGCGCACUGAAC